rnacentral:rRNA from 1 species
GAUGAACGCUGGCGGCGUGCCUAAUACAUGCAAGUCGAGCGAAUGGAUUGAGAGCUUGCUCUUAUGAAGUUAGCGGCGGACGGGUGAGUAACACGUGGGUAACCUGCCCAUAAGACUGGGAUAACUCCGGGAAACCGGGGCUAAUACCGGAUAACAUUUUGAACCGCAUGGUUCGAAAUUGAAAGGCGGCUUCGGCUGUCACUUAUGGAUGGACCCGGGUCGCAUUAGCUAGUUGGUGAGGUAACGGCUCACCAAGGCAACGAUGCGUAGCCGACCUGAGAGGAGGAUCGGCCACACUGGGACUGAGGCACGGCCCAGACUCCUACGGGAGGCAGCAGUAGGGAAUCUUCCGCAAUGGACGAAAGUCUGACGGAGCAACGCCGCGUGAGUGAUGAAGGCUUUCGGGUCGUAAAACUCUGUUGUUAGGGAAGAACAAGUGCUAGUUGAAUAAGCUGGCACCUUGACGGUACCUAACCAGAAAGCCACGGCUAACUACGUGCCAGCCGCCGCAGUAA